GGACCCACCUGUUCUCAUACCGAACACAGUAGUUAAGCCCUUAAACACCGACGAUACUUGGCUGGAGACGGCCCGGGAAAAUAGGCAGCCGCCGAAU
rnacentral:rRNA from 1 species